UGUUCCGAAACUCUGCGUGCUGAAAGCCAACAAGAAUCUGCGGUUUUAAUAGGGACUGAUAGAAAACUGCUUAUUUUAUAUCUGACUUUAUUUUCAGGGGCAUUUUAUUCACGACUGUUGGCUCACGUUCGGCUGGAUCUUCAGGCCCUCGGGUUCACAGUGGACACUGUAACGCUGACCGAUGUGAAGCACGCAGUCUGAAGACGUCUCAAUGAACAGCAGAACCUGGCCUGCUUCUGGGAUUUUAAAGGACUUUUUAACAAAAUUCCAGAUAAGGCCAAAGGCAGAGAGGUGGGAGACGUUCACAAUCACAUGCGUGUCGGUGAUCCUCAUCGGUUUCAAGAUGCUUAUCCCAUCAUCAAAGACGUGCGCGACAGACAGCAGGCCAUCAACACACAACGCUGUGAAGGCAAAGAGCUGCUGCACUAUUUCCUGCUCGGGGAUUCAUCCUGCACCAUUUACUUUUCAACACUUCAGUGUGGCAGGUGGAGCUGACGGACUGCGUCCUCAGAGCACGUGAUGUUAAACAGCGGCCCUGCAGCUGUUUUUCCAGCUUGUUGAAGGAGGCUCUCAUCCCAUUGGACAUUCCAGUACAGCAGCUCCGCCUUCUGAGCCAUAACAAACACCAGUCUGGUCAGAGUACACUGGAACACACCUGGACCAGGACACCUGAACCUGUAGAAGAUGAAACGGUUAAACUAGAAUCUAAAAGAAAGAAACCAACGAGAACAUCUGAAGCUUCUGUUUGAGUCCAAACUGUCACAUCCACCAAAGUGAGGGGAAGCUACAUCUGUAACUCUGCUGCUUUGGCUCUAAAGCCAAAGCAGGUUAUUAAUUCUACUUGUGGUUUGGGAUAUCUCAGGGUUUGAGUCACAUGUCACAUAAUUAGAACACGGUUGUGGUUAGUCAUCCCGGAGGCUUCAGCCUCUUUCUGGACUGAUAGUAACCUGCCAUCGCUGUAUUUGAGUUUUAUAUUAUCAGAACACCUCAAAUCACACAGAACCCAGAUGAACCCUGUCAUCUCUAACACAGCCAGGCAUCUGUGGAGGCAGCUGUUACUGGAGCUGGAGGGCCAAGUGAAGGUCCUGCCUGAAGUCUGACAUCAUCUCUGUCUGUCACUGAGAAACUGACGCUCCAGAUGAUCUUUCAGUGGAAAUGAUGUCUGAGUGAGAUGGACAAAGGAAAACACAGAGGGAGAGAAAAGCAAAGUACACAACGUCUCAUAUAUUAGACAUCGAUG